CCGUCCUGGAAAUAAAUGACAUGUAUUGCAUUGAAGAAAUGGAAUGGACCUGCUGGACUGUAUUUACACAAACCGAAGUGAAUCAUCCAGUGAAGGAAAAAUACCUAGAUAAAGCUUGUCUGAUUUGGCUGGUCAUGUGAUCUCAUCAUGAUUGGCCAAUGAUCCACCCCAGCUUCGUGAAAGAAUAGACUCUACCUCUUCCACGGUGUCCAUCUCAGUGCUGUAUGAAGUCAGGUACUCUCCAAAAGGCUGGAUCGGUGUG